rnacentral:rRNA from 1 species
AUUGAACGCUGGCGGCAGGCUUAACACAUGCAAGUCGAGCGGAUGAAGCGAGCUUGCCCCUGGAUUCAGCGGCGGACGGGUGAGUAAUGCCUAGGAAUCUGCCUGGUAGUGGGGGAUAACGUCCGGAAACGGGCGCUAAUAUCGCAUACGUCCUGAGGGAGAUAGUGGGGGAUCUUCGGACCUCACGCAAUCAGAUGACGCUAGGUUGGAUUAGCUAGUUGGUGGGGCAAAGGACUACCAAGGCGACGAUCCGUAACUGGUCUGAGAGGAUGAUCAGUCACACUGGAACUGAGACGCGGUCCAGACUACUACGGUAGGCAGCGGAGGGGUAUGGUAGACGAUGGACGAAAGGCGGGUCCAACCCUGCCACGUGUGUGGAAAGAAGCUGCGGAUAGGAAAGCUAUUCAAGUUGGGAGGGAGGACAGUGAGUUAAUACCUUGAUGUUUUGACGUUACCAACAGAAUAAGCACCGGCUAACUCCGUG